UUUAGUCCCUCCGCCCAAAGUCUGCUCCUUCCCGACCCCAAGCUUUCCUUUCAGGAAGAAGGUGAGUUGCCGACCCCAGUCCGCCUCGCCCGACCCCUCCUAUCCGCCCGACCCCGGUUCCGUCUCGCCCGACCCUGUCUGUUCCGCCGACCCUUAUCCGCCUCGCCCGAGGGCUUGGCUGUGAUCUUUUUCUUCAACUCGAGGGUGUAUGUGUAAAACUUGGGAACCCUUCAGCGCUUGCGUCUAAGGACCCCUAGUUCUCACAUCCUCUAGUUCAAGGAUCAGACCACUAGUUCCUUCCUACCCUUACCUUUUGAUCAUCAUCAGCUCUCGAACCACGAUCACCUCCUGC
rnacentral:lncRNA from 1 species